AAAGGCUGCUGCUGACACAGUGGAUGGAGCACACACAAGCUCCCUGUGUGACUCCUUCAGCUCCUGCAUGUCUCCUUGGCUAACAUUUCAGAGCUUCUGAUCCUUCAGACAUCAGCUUCUUGAUACUGAAGAGAUUGUUCUACCUGAUGAGCCCAGGCCUAGAAGAUGGACUGCAUCCAAGAAGCCUGGCCCAUCUAAGGCCAAGUCACAUCUUUAAGAAAUAUUUGAAAAGCAUUUGUGCACAGGAUAAAGGUGCAAGGACCAAAGUCUCCUUAGACUUUCCAGCAUACAGAGGGUCUGACAGACUCAGGUCAAAGGUUACGUCUGAAGCCUAGAUCAUGAAGAAGGCCCCACUCCACAGGAGAAGCCUGUGGCUGAUGCUGUUGCAACCAGGACUAUGAUUGUGAAACUUGUGUCUGUGGAUAGCAGAUUCACGAAUCUUGUGCCCAGGUAUCCACAGGCCUUUUUUCAUACAUUCCUUGGUAUAAUUUUGCAAGUCCUGACUUUGGAAGUGUCGGGUCCUUAUGCUAUCUCACUUGAUAUAUAGUCCAAGAAAGAUUUUUACCCCUUUAAGGGGCUGGAAAUAGACUGGACUCACAGUUACCAUUAAAACUGAAGUUCUGUCCUUUGUG